rnacentral:rRNA from 1 species
UACGGAGGGGGCUAGCGUUGUUCGGAAUUACUGGGCGUAAAGCGCAGCGUAGGCGGCUUUGUAAGUUAGAGGUGAAAGCCUGGAGCUCAACUCCAGAACUGCCUUUAAGACUGCAUCGCUUGAAUCCAGGAGAGGUGAGUGGAAUUCCGAGUGUAGAGGUGAAAUUCGUAGAUAUUCGCAAGAACACCAGUGGCGAAGGCGGCUCACUGGCCCGGU